AGCAUGUGGUUUAAUUCGAUGCAACGCGAAGAACCUUACCUGGGCUUGACAUCCCGGGAAUCCCUUGGAAACAAGGGAGUGCCUUCGGGAACCUGGAGACAGGUGCUGCAUGGCUGUCGUCAGCUCGUGUCGUGAGAUGUUGGGUUAAGUCCCGCAACGAGCGCAACCCUUAUCCCCAGUUGCCAUCAGGUAAAGCUGGGAACUCUGGGGAGACUGCCGGUGAUAAACCGGAGGAAGGCGGGGAUGACGUCAAGUCCUCAUGGCCCUUACAUCCCGGGCUACACACGUGCUACAAUGGCAGGUACAGAGGGCUGCGAAGCCGCGAGGUGGAGCGAAUCCCAGAAAACCUGUCUCAGUCCGGAUUGAAGUCUGCAACUCGACUUCAUGAAGGCGGAAUCGCUAGUAACCGCGAAUCAGCAGGUCGCGGUGAAUACGUUCCCGGGCCUU
rnacentral:rRNA from 1 species